UUAAGCGACUAAGCGUACACGGUGGAUGCCCUGGCAGUCAGAGGCGAUGAAGGACGUGCUAAUCUGCGAUAAGCGUCGGUAAGGUGAUAUGAACCGUUAUAACCGGCGAUUUCCGAAUGGGGAAACCCAGUGUGAUUCGUCACACUAUCAUUAACUGAAUCCAUAGGUUAAUGAGGCGAACCGGGGGAACUGAAACAUCUAAGUACCCCGAGGAAAAGAAAUCAACCGAGAUUCCCCCAGUAGCGGCGAGCGAACGGGGAGNAGCCCAGAGCCUGAAUCAGUGUGUGUGUUAGUGGAAGCGUCUGGAAAGGCGCGCGAUACAGGGUGACAGCCCCGUACACAAAAAUGCACAUGCUGUGAGCUCGAUGAGUAGGGCGGGACACGUGGUAUCCUGUCUGAAUAUGGGGGGACCAUCCUCCAAGGCUAAAUACUCCUGACUGACCGAUAGUGAACCAGUACCGUGAGGGAAAGGCGAAAAGAACCCCGGCGAGGGGAGUGAAAAAGAACCUGAAACCGUGUACGUACAAGCAGUGGGAGCACGCUUAGGCGUGUGACUGCGUACCUUUUGUAUAAUGGGUCAGCGACUUAUAUUCUGUAGCAAGGUUAACCGAAUAGGGGAGCCGAAGGGAAACCGAGUCUUAACUGGGCGUUAAGUUGCAGGGUAUAGACCCGAAACCCGGUGAUCUAGCCAUGGGCAGGUUGAAGGUUGGGUAACACUAACUGGAGGACCGAACCGACUAAUGUUGAAAAAUUAGCGGAUGACUUGUGGCUGGGGGUGAAAGGCCAAUCAAACCGGGAGAUAGCUGGUUCUCCCCGAAAGCUAUUUAGGUAGCGCCUCGUGAAUUCAUCUCCGGGGGUAGAGCACUGUUUCGGCAAGGGGGUCAUCCCGACUUACCAACCCGAUGCAAACUGCGAAUACCGGAGAAUGUUAUCACGGGAGACACACGGCGGGUGCUAACGUCCGUCGUGAAGAGGGAAACAACCCAGACCGCCAGCUAAGGUCCCAAAGUCAUGGUUAAGUGGGAAACGAUGUGGGAAGGCCCAGACAGCCAGGAUGUUGGCUUAGAAGCAGCCAUCAUUUAAAGAAAGCGUAAUAGCUCACUGGUCGAGUCGGCCUGCGCGGAAGAUGUAACGGGGCUAAACCAUGCACCGAAGCUGCGGCAGCGACNNNNNNNNNNNNNNNNNNNNNNNNGAAGGUGUGCUGUGAGGCAUGCUGGAGGUAUCAGAAGUGCGAAUGCUGACAUAAGUAACGAUAAAGCGGGUGAAAAGCCCGCUCGCCGGAAGACCAAGGGUUCCUGUCCAACGUUAAUCGGGGCAGGGUGAGUCGACCCCUAAGGCGAGGCCGAAAGGCGUAGUCGAUGGGAAACAGGUUAAUAUUCCUGUACUUGGUGUUACUGCGAAGGGGGGACGGAGAAGGCUAUGUUGGCCGGGCGACGGUUGUCCCGGUUUAAGCGUGUAGGCUGGUUUUCCAGGCAAAUCCGGAAAAUCAAGGCUGAGGCGUGAUGACGAGGCACUACGGUGCUGAAGCAACAAAUGCCCUGCUUCCAGGAAAAGCCUCUAAGCAUCAGGUAACAUCAAAUCGUACCCCAAACCGACACAGGUGGUCAGGUAGAGAAUACCAAGGCGCUUGAGAGAACUCGGGUGAAGGAACUAGGCAAAAUGGUGCCGUAACUUCGGGAGAAGGCACGCUGAUAUGUAGGUGAAGUCCCUCGCGGAUGGAGCUGAAAUCAGUCGAAGAUACCAGCUGGCUGCAACUGUUUAUUAAAAACACAGCACUGUGCAAACACGAAAGUGGACGUAUACGGUGUGACGCCUGCCCGGUGCCGGAAGGUUAAUUGAUGGGGUCAGCGCAAGCGAAGCUCUUGAUCGAAGCCCCGGUAAACGGCGGCCGUAACUAUAACGGUCCUAAGGUAGCGAAAUUCCUUGUCGGGUAAGUUCCGACCUGCACGAAUGGCGUAAUGAUGGCCAGGCUGUCUCCACCCGAGACUCAGUGAAAUUGAACUCGCUGUGAAGAUGCAGUGUACCCGCGGCAAGACGGAAAGACCCCGUGAACCUUUACUAUAGCUUGACACUGAACAUUGAGCCUUGAUGUGUAGGAUAGGUGGGAGGCUUNNNNNNAUCCGGGUUGCGGACAGUGUCUGGUGGGUAGUUUGACUGGGGCGGUCUCCUCCUAAAGAGUAACGGAGGAGCACGAAGGUUGGCUAAUCCUGGUCGGACAUCAGGAGGUUAGUGCAAUGGCAUAAGCCAGCUUGACUGCGAGCGUGACGGCGCGAGCAGGUGCGAAAGCAGGUCAUAGUGAUCCGGUGGUUCUGAAUGGAAGGGCCAUCGCUCAACGGAUAAAAGGUACUCCGGGGAUAACAGGCUGAUACCGCCCAAGAGUUCAUAUCGACGGCGGUGUUUGGCACCUCGAUGUCGGCUCAUCACAUCCUGGGGCUGAAGUAGGUCCCAAGGGUAUGGCUGUUCGCCAUUUAAAGUGGUACGCGAGCUGGGUUUAGAACGUCGUGAGACAGUUCGGUCCCUAUCUGCCGUGGGCGCUGGAGAACUGAGGGGGGCUGCUCCUAGUACGAGAGGACCGGAGUGGACGCAUCACUGGUGUUCGGGUUGUCAUGCCAAUGGCACUGCCCGGUAGCUAAAUGCGGAAGAGAUAAGUGCUGAAAGCAUCUAAGCACGAAACUUGCCCCGAGAUGAGUUCUCCCUGACUCCUUGAGAGUCCUGAAGGAACGUUGAAGACGACGACGUUGAUAGGCCGGGUGUGUAAGCGCAGCGAUGCGUUGAGCUAACCGGUACUAAUGAACCGUGAGGCUUAACCUU
rnacentral:rRNA from 1 species